CGACAGGUAGGAUCGGGAGGAUAGUCGUCUCCCCUUGUCCUGAAACCGACUACAUGCAGGGGUCAGUAACCGUCGGGUAAAGCACGGAGAGGAAUGUACUUCCCUGUCCUGCAGGGAGGAACCCACGCCACGUCGGGCUGCCAUAGGAGCGCGCCUUUCGAAGGGAAGGUUGCGACUUUGAACCGUCGAAUCGGGUGAGAUCCGGGAGGGAGCAACCCUAAGAUGGAAUGACCGCGCUGACGUGUCUACGCGGAGGACCUGUAAAGUCAGGAAAAAGGCAUCCCAUUCGUGUGAACACUGGCGGGGCUGUCG
rnacentral:SRP_RNA from 1 species